CAGCCGCCACGGUAAUACGAAGGGUGCAAGCGUUAAUCGGAAUUACUGGGCGUAAAGCGUGCGUAGGCGGUUUGUUAAGUCUGUUGUGAAAUCCCCGGGCUCAACCUGGGAAUGGCAAUGGAUACUGGCAAGCUAGAGUGUGUCAGAGGAUGGUGGAAUUCCCGGUGUAGCGGUGAAAUGCGUAGAGAUCGGGAGGAACAUCAGUGGCGAAGGCGGCCAUCUGGGACAACACUGACGCUGAGGCACGAAAGCGUGGGGAGCAAACAGGAUUAGAGACCCCCGUAGUCCCUGUCUCUUAUAC
rnacentral:rRNA from 1 species